UCAACUUUAAUUUUAAAUGCAACUCUCAUAAUUCCUAAAAUUCAAGAAAGUACUCGCUCAAAAGGAAUUAGCUCUAAGUUCAAUAGCUUUUCCUAUAUCUACAAUGUUGACCAGUUCAUAGCCUAAAGCAACCUAAGUUCUGCCAGAAGGUCUGAUGGAAAGGAGAAGAAAAAAUGAAAUUCCUUCAUUUAAGACUAUAAGUUCUGCUUCUCCAGACUUUUAGCUGGAUCAAAUUUUACUAAAGCUAAAGCAAUCAAAGGUUAUUGGAUUAAUUAUUACAAAUGGUGGGGCUUUGCAGACAUGAUGUGAUGAAGAAAAUAUGUUCCAUACAAAUAUCACAUGGGAUGGAUCUUACAAUGACCUUAGUUAUGUAAAUGUAAUAUUUUGACGUGUUAUGUACUUUUUGAGGUAUUACAUGUAAUUGGAAAAAUUACACUCU